rnacentral:rRNA from 1 species
AGUGAACGCUGGCGGUAGGCCUAACACAUGCAAGUCGAACGGCAGCACAGUAAGAGCUUGCUCUUACGGGUGGCGAGUGGCGGACGGGUGAGGAAUACAUCGGAAUCUACUUUUUCGUGGGGGAUAACGUAGGGAAACUUACGCUAAUACCGCAUACGACCUACGGGUGAAAGCAGGGGAUCUUCGGACCUCGCGCGAUUGAAUGAGCCGAUGUCGGAUUAGCUAGUUGGCGGGGUAAAGGCCCACCAAGGCGACGAUCCGUAGCUGGUCUGAGAGGAUGAUCGGCCACAUGGGAACUGAGAACCGUUCCAGACUCCAACGGGAGGCAGCAGGGGGGAAUUUGGGACAAGGGGCGCAAGCCUGACCCAGCCAGACCGCGUGGGUGAAGAAGGCCUUCGGGUUGUAAAGCCCUUUUGUUGGGAAAGAAAAGCAGCAGGUUAAGACCCCGCUGUUCUGACGGUACCCAAAGAAUAAGCACCGGCUAACUUCGG